UACGUAGGUGGCAAGCGUUGUCCGGAAUUAUUGGGCGUAAAGCGCGCGCAGGCGGUUCCUUAAGUCUGGUGUGAAAGCCCCCGGCUCAACCGGGGAGGGUCAUUGGAAACUGGGGAACUUGAGUGCAGAAGAGAAGAGCGGAAUUCCACGUGUAGCGGUGAAAUGCGUAGAGAUGUGGAGGAACACCAGUGGCGAAGGCGGCUCUUUGGGCUGUAACUGACGCUGAGGCGCGAAAGCGUGGGGAGCAAACAGG
rnacentral:rRNA from 1 species